UGCAGUCAAGGCACUUGCCUGGUGUCCUUAUGAUUCAGGUGUGCUUGCCUCUGGAGGUGGCACUGAAGAUAGAUGUAUCAAGUUAUGGAAUGUGAAACAUGGAACCUGCAUUUCCAGCAUAGAUACAAAGGCUCAGGCAAGAUAGUUAUCUGUUUCCUUGUUUUAUUAACUGUCUUGUUAUCAUGUUGCACUAGUUGUUAAGUAUUAAGCAUUUUCAUUAGCAAAAAAGAAUAAAUCACCAUUUUCUUAUCUGGACUUGGGCAUCAAACUUUCUCUAGCUGAAUGAUGCAUCAAACUUUCAUGCAGGUUUGCGGAUUAGAAUGGAAUAGACAUCAUAAGGAGGUAUUAAGUGGUCAUGGAUUCAGCACAAGUGCACAUCACAAUCAACUUUGUUUGUGGAGAUACCCAUCUAUGACUAAAGUGGGAGCCUUGGAACGUCACACUUCUAGAGUACUUGAUAUAUGUCAGGUAUGCUGCAAGUCAUAAUAUAAAACUCUUGCAUCAAUGAGUCCAGACUAUCUGCUCUGGGUUUUUUAGUGUGGUCCUCUGCUAAGCAUUAAAAAUAUAUUGAUGUUAGUAUGUUAAAAUUAUUUUUAAUAUAUUUUAAAAUAUCAAAUUCAUAGUUCAUCAGUGCAUUUUGAAGACACUGUAGAGAAACAACACAGAAAAAUCUAGCAAAGAAUCCAAAUUCAACAUCAAUGCUUCUUUCUGCAGUGUGAAUUUUUCUAGCUUAUAAGAAUUUCAUAGGUAACAAAGAUUGAGAAGAAAGAACAGAAUCAGGAAGUGCACCACUAAAGACAGAAUAUGACAUGCAAUUAACUAAAUAUGCAGCAAUAAGAAUUUAAUCUUUGAUUUGGUAGUUAC
rnacentral:lncRNA from 1 species